rnacentral:rRNA from 1 species
GACGAACCGUGCAAACGUUAUUCGGAAUUACUGGGCGUAAAGGGUGCGUAGGUGGUUAAUUAAGUUAUCUGUGAAAUCCCUGGGCUCAACCUGGGCAGGUCAGAUAAUACUGGUUAACUCGAGUAUGGGAGAGGGUAGUGGAAUUUCCGGUGUAGCGGUGAAAUGCGUAGAGAUCGGAAGGAACACCAGUGGCGAAGGCGGCUACCUGGCCUAAUACUGACACUGAGGCACGAAAGCGUGGGGAGCAAACAGG